rnacentral:rRNA from 1 species
UCUCGCGUCAGGAUAUGCCUAGGUGGGAUUAGCUAGUUGGUGAGGUAAGGGCUCACCAAGGCGACGAUCCCUAGCUGGUCUGAGAGGAUGAUCAGCCACACUGGAACUGAGACACGGUCCAGACUCCUACGGGAGGCAGCAGUGGGGAAUAUUGCACAAUGGGCGCAAGCCUGAUGCAGCCAUGCCGCGUGUGUGAAGAAGGCCUUCGGGUUGUAAAGCACUUUCAGUCGUGAGGAAGGUAGUGUAGUUAAUAGCUGCAUUAUUUGACGUUAGCGACAGAAGAAGCACCGGCUAACUCCGUGCCAGCAGCCGCGGUAAUACGGAGGGUGCGAGCGUUAAUCGGAAUUACUGGGCGUAAAGCGCAUGCAGGUGGUUUGUUAAGUCAGAUGUGAAAGCCCGGGGCUCAACCUCGGAAUAGCAUUUGAAACUGGCAGACUAGAGUACUGUAGAGGGGGGUAGAAUUUCA